rnacentral:rRNA from 1 species
CACGGGGGGAGCAAGCGUUGUCCGGAAUCAUUGGGCGUAAAGAGCUCGUAGGCGGCCGGUUGCGUCUGCUGUGAAAUCCCGGGGCUUAACCCCGGGCGUGCAGUGGAUACGGGCUGGCUGGAGGCAGGCAGGGGAGAAUGGAAUUCCCGGUGUAGCGGUGAAAUGCGUAGAGAUCGUAAGGAAGACCAGUGGCAAAGGCGAGUCUCUGGAAAGCUGCUGACGCUGAGGCACGAAGGCCAGGGGAGCAAACGGG